rnacentral:rRNA from 1 species
CCUACGGGUGGCAGCAGUGGGGGAUAUUGCACAAUGGGGGAAACCCUGAUGCAGCGACGCCGCGUGUGGGCAGACGGUCCUCUGGAUUGUAAACCACUGUCCCCAGGGACGAAGAUGACGGUACCUGGGGAGGAACCUCCGCCUAACUCCGUGCCAGCAGCCACGGCAAUACGUAGGGAGAAAGCGUUGUCCGGAUUUACUGGGUGUAAAGGGAGCGUAGUCGGGAUGGCAAGUUGGGUGUUAAAUCUACCGGCUCAACUGGUAGUCGCACUCAAAACUGCUAUUCUUGAGUGAAGUAGAGGCAGGCGGAAUUCCUAGUGUAGCGGUGAAAUGCGUAGAUAGUAGGAGGAACACCAGUGGCGAAGGCGGCCUGCUGGGCUUUUACUGACGCUGAGGCUCGAAAGUGUGGGGAGCAAACAGGAUUAGAUACCCGGGUAGUC